rnacentral:misc_RNA from 1 species
GGCAGCUGCAGCUGCCAUUGCUGCUACAUUUUCCACUAUCCCAAACCGUGCAUACGCUGACUCUCCAUUUCGUUUCAACCCUUUUUCAUCUCCAUCUCCUUCUGUGCCUUCAUCUUCUUCAGAGUCUCCUCAGGCCGACUCUUCCGAGUCAGAUGCAAAGGAUUCUUCUGAAGAUUCAAGAGGUGGGUUCAACCCGGAAUCCUUAGAAAGGGGUGCAAAAGCCCUUAGGGAAAUCAAUAGUUCUCCUUAUCACAAGCAGGUGUUUGAUGUGA